rnacentral:rRNA from 1 species
GACGAACGCUGGCGGCGUGCUUAACACAUGCAAGUCGAACGGUGAAGGGGAGCUUGCUCCCCGGAUCAGUGGCGAACGGGUGAGUAACACGUGGGCAACCUGCCCCAGACUUCGGGAUAACGCUUCGAAAGAGGUGCUACUACCGGAUACGAACUCCUUGGGCAUCCUGGGAGUUGGAAAGUUUUUCGGUCUGGGAUGGGCCCGCGGCCUAUCAGCUAGUUGGUGAGGUAACGGGUCACCAAGGCGACGACGGGUAGCCGGCCUGAGAGGGCGGCCGGCCACACUGGGACUGAGACACGGCCCAGACUCCUACGGGAGGCAGCAGUGGGGAAUAUUGCGCAAUGGGCGAAAGCCUGACGCAGCAACGCCGCGUGAGGGAUGACGGCCUUCGGGUUGUAAACCUCUUUCAGCAGGGAAGAAGCGAAAGUGACGGUACCUGCAGAAGAAGCACCGGCUAACUACGUGCCAGCAGCCGCGGUAACAC